rnacentral:lncRNA from 1 species
CAAUUUAUUUUUUGAUUCCUAAUAUUCAUAAUUAAUUCUUGUGCAGAAGAAAAUUUAUGAACUGUUUGAACACUAUAACAUGUCAUUACGGCACAAACAGUGUAACUUUGGUUGUGAUUUUGCCCUAUAAGAGUGAAAGGGACUAAAGUACGUGAUUAUAUUAAAGGGAAAUUUAUGCUGUGCUUUUGGUCUUGAUUUGUGACAUCUAAUUAGCACCUUUGCCUUCACGCCUCCAGCGCCCCUUGUCUGGUGUUCAUCCUGCCAGCACAGGGACCCCCAACCCCUUGGAAGGUAAACAAGAUAAACUACAGAAAGCUGUACAGCAUAUACUGUCUCUUCUGGAAGAGAUGAAAACUGACGUGAAAGACGUGAAAAAUAGGCUUGCGCAGAUGGAGUGCCAAACCCAAGAAAAGGAGCUGACAUCUGAUACAAGGGUUACAGUUUCCCUUAAAAUCUUCAGAGGUGUAGAAUGUCUCAAGUUGGAUUUAAAGACAGAUCCAGGAAAACGUGCACGCUUGGAAUGCUAUUUGGCGAUGAGGGGAGGCUUUAGCUUAAAGCUCGUAGUCAGGGGUAUACUGUCUGUGCUAUUUUCAACAGAAUUAGCCCGGUGUUACAACUAUAAUGGCCUGAAGUGAAAGAAGGGACUGAAGAACCACCCCUUUAUUUUAAGAACAGUUCAGGGAAUGCUAUUUGGCAAUGCAUGGGGGAUUCACUUUAAAGCAUAUCGUCAGGGACAAACGGUCUCUGCUAUUUUCAAAUAAAUUAGCCAGGUCUUACAACUUCCAUGGUCUGAAGGGAAAGAAGGGACUCACGAACCACCCCUUUCUUUUACAAACAGUUCAGGAUGCUGCACGAAAAACUUGCCCUCAAGCUACUGAAGCAGAACUGCAGACGCAGAUCUCUAGCUGGUUAGCUGGUGCUAGGGAUUGAGAGAAUGGCAGAAGGGAAAGGGCACCUGAGCACAGACUGUUAAAGUCAGUAAAUAGUUCUGGGGUGGGGAACGAAUUGGAGGACAAGUAAGCUGUACAAUUUUUUGCAUAUUUAAAAUUAGUUUUUUUAAUUAAACAAUUUCAAUAAACAUCAGAAAACGACAAAUCAUGUUUGUUUUUUGUAACAUUUUGUUUGGCAUUUAUAGGGUUAUUUUGAUGCAUUUGAUAUUAUUGGUUUUUCUAGGAAUUUUGGCAUAUCCUGAUUUAAAAACAACGUAAAUCAGAAUAUGCCAAAAUACCUAAAAUAACCAAUAAUAGCUGGAAAUCUAGGUAUCUAGGUUCACAUGGGCUUCCCAUAUAGGAAGCCCAUCUCAGCCCACGGUCGGACCUGUUUGCGCUUUCGGCGGUUGGGCCGAUAUAGGCUUCCCAUAUGGUCAUAAGAUAGCUCAUAUGGGUCCUAUAUGGGACACACAUGGGUCCUAUAUGGCCUCUCCUCCAAAUGCUACUAGGGUAUAUAUCUGAUGAGCCGUUGGUAUUCACUUACCAGCACUUAUACACUUGUGUGGUAAGAAGGAAGAACAGCAGUAAAGACAACUGAAAAAAGUAUGGUGGUCAUUGUACCUCUAAAUAUAUUUAUAUUCUACCUUCAGCUGUCUUUACACACUACCUUUAGUAUUCGUCAGAAAAACCUUCAGGUGUCUCCACACGCUACCUACACCUGUCUUGAUACACUACCUCACUGUCUUUACACCGUCGUGGCUGAAUCUGGCAACUGACAAAAGAUGUUGCCCCUUGUCGAUAGUGUUAGUAAUAUGUCAAAAAUGUCGAUCAGCUAGUAUUGCAUUGCCUGCAGCCUUACCACUGAUUAUUUUUUUGGAAUCCUUCAACAUCCUGGAUCCUGAAGGGAUAUUUGCUGAAGAUAAGCUUUAAACAUCUUCCCUUGCUAAUGCGAUAAUCCUUUGACCUCCCACUUCGGUGGCAAUCGCGUGCAUGCAGACCACCCUAGUUAUACACCCGCUAUAAUGCCCAGGCAAGGUUCAUGAUGUCAGCGUUAAUUAAUUCGAGACAGAAACAACUGAUGCGCAGGUCGUGAUCCCCAGCCGGUCUUUUACUAACUCAUUGGCAGUGCUGUCCUCUUCCUCUCCUUUAAACAUUUACUUUCUAAAUCUGAAGGGAAGGAAGAUGAAGAAGGUAGAGAGUAAAAACUUUUAGGAAAGUACAGAGAACUGUCUAGAUAGAAAAACUUUGAAAUAAAAAUGCUGAAAAAAAAUUUUUGUUUGUGAGUGUGUGUGUUGGGGGUAUUUUACUUUGUCUUUAAAGGCAGCAUGGGUGGGAAAAUCACCUAACUGUGACGUGUGAGUGUAAACCCUGAUUUUUUUCCGAGCAUGUUUGUCUGCCCUAUAGCUUGUGUGUCAGGUGUCACGCAGCGCAAAAGAGCCAACACUUUUUGUUUUCGAACAAAGGUCACUGACUGAUGCUCGUUGACAAUCGGGUGUUAACCCGACAUUUCUUGUUCUUUUGCUCACCGUCUCUCUUCUCUGCUAUUUUUUAGUCUCC